rnacentral:rRNA from 1 species
UGGGGAAUAUUGCACAAUGGGCGAAAGCCUGAUGCAGCGACGCCGCGUGAGGGAUGAAGGCCUUCGGGUUGUAAACCUCUUUCAGCAGGGAAGAAGCGCAAGUGACGGUACCUGCAGAAGAAGCGCCGGCUAACUACGUGCCAGCAGCCGCGGUAAUACGUAGGGCGCAAGCGUUGUCCGGAAUUAUUGGGCGUAAAGAGCUCGUAGGCGGUUUGUCGCGUCUGGUGUAAAAACUCGAGGCUCAACCUCGAGCUUGCAUCGGGUACGGGCAGACUAGAGUGCGGUAGGGGAGACUGGAAUUCCUGGUGUAGCGGUGGAAUGCGCAGAUAUCAGGAGGAACACCGAUGGCGAAGGCAGGUCUCUGGGCCGCAACUGACGCUGAGGAGCGAAAGCAUGGGGAGCGAACA